GAGUAACACGUGAGCAACCUGCCCCUGACUCUGGGAUAAGCGCUGGAAACGGCGUCUAAUACUGGAUAUGUGACGUGACCGCAUGGUCUGCGUCUGGAAAGAAUUUCGGUUGGGGAUGGGCUCGCGGCCUAUCAGCUUGUUGGUGAGGUAAUGGCUCACCAAGGCGUCGACGGGUAGCCGGCCUGAGAGGGUGACCGGCCACACUGGGACUGAGACACGGCCCAGACUCCUACGGGAGGCAGCAGUGGGG
rnacentral:rRNA from 1 species